CUUGCUUUUACCUGUCAUUCGGGCUCCGGCCCGAUCCUCCCACCCUUUGUGUACCUACCUCUGUUGCUUUGGCGGGCCGCGGUCCUCCGCGGCCGCCCCCCUCCCCGGGGGGGUGGCCCAGCGCCCGCCAGAGGACCAUCAAACUCCAGUCAGUAAACGAUGCAGUCUGAAAAACAUUUAAUAAACUAAAACUUUCAACAACGGAUCUCUUGGUUCUGGCAUCGAUGAAGAACGCAGCGAAAUGCGAUAAGUAAUGUGAAUUGCAGAAUUCAGUGAAUCAUCGAAUCUUUGAACGCACAUUGCGCCCUUUGGUAUUCCGAAGGGCAUGCCUGUUCGAGCGUCAUUACAACCCUCAAGCUCUGCUUGGUAUUGGGCACCGUCCUUUGCGGGCGCKCCUCAAAKACCUCGGCGGUGGCGUCUUGCCUCAAAGCGUAGUAGAACAUACAUCUCGCUUCGGAGCGCAGGGCGUCGCCCGCCGGACGAACCUUCUGAACUUUUCUCAAGGUUGACCUCGGAUCAGUAGGAUACAGGCUGACUUAAGGAGGA
rnacentral:rRNA from 1 species